rnacentral:rRNA from 1 species
UGGGGAAUAUUGGACAAUGGGCGCAAGCCUGAUCCAGCAAUGCCGCGUGUGUGAAGAAGGCCUGCGGGUUGUAAAGCACUUUCAGUGGGGAGGAAAAAGCCAAGACUAAUAUUCUUGGAAAUUGACGUUACCCAAAGAAGAAGCACCGGCUAACUCUGUGCCAGCAGCCGCGGUAAUACAGAGGGUGCGAGCGUUAAUCGGAAUUACUGGGCGUAAAGAGCACGUAGGUGGUUUGGCAAGUUGGAUGUGAAAGCCCCGGGCUUAACCUGGGAACUGCAUUCAGUACUACCAAGCUAGAGUAGAGUAGAGGGAAGUGGAAUUUCCGGUGUAGCGGUGAAAUGCGUAGAUAUCGGAAGGAACACCAGUGGCGAAGGCGGCUUCCUGGACUCAUACUGACACUGAGGUGCGAAAGCGUGGGGAGCAAACAGG